AUUGAACGCUGGCGGCAGGCCUAACACAUGCAAGUCGAACGAGUGGCGGACGGGUGAGUAAUGUCUGGGAAACUGCCUGAUGGAGGGGGAUAACUACUGGAAACGGUAGCUAAUACCGCAUACCAUCAGAUGUGCCCAGAUGGGAUUUGCUUGUUGGGGGGGUAACGGCUCACCAAGGCGACGAUCCCUAGCUGGUCUGCGAGGAUGACCAGCCACACUGGAGCUGAUGCACGGUCCAGACUCCUACGGGAGGCAGCAGGGGGGAAUAUUGGACAAUGGGCGCAAGCCUGAUGCGGCCAUGCCGCGUGUAUGAAGAAGGCCUUCGGGUUGUAAAGUACUUUAAGUGGGGAGGCGUUACCCGCAGAAAAAGCACCGGCUAACUCCGUGCCAGCAGCCGCGGUAAUAC
rnacentral:rRNA from 1 species